rnacentral:rRNA from 1 species
AAUGAACGCUGGCGGCGUGCUUAACACAUGCAAGUCGUACGAGAAACCCCGGCUUGCCGGGGGAGUAAAGUGGCGCACGGGUGAGUAACGCGUGGGUAAUCUACCCUCGAAUUGGGGAUAACACACCGAAAGGUGUGCUAAUACCGAAUAAGACCACGACCUCCACGGGGGUUGCGGUCAAAGAUGGCCUCUGCUUGCAAGCUGUCGUUUGAGGAUGAGCCCGCGUACCAUUAGCUUGUUGGUGGGGUAAUGGCCUACCAAGGCAACGAUGGUUAGCUGGUCUGAGAGGAUGGCCAGCCACACGGGAACUGGAACACGAUCCAGACUCCUACGGGAGACAGCAGUGAGGAAUUUUGCGCAAUGGGGGAAACCCUGACGCAGCAACGCCGCGUGAGUGAAGAAGGCCUUCGGGUUGUAAAGCUCUGUCAAGUGGGAAGAACCUUUUUCGGCCGAAUACGCCGAGAAACUGACGGUACCGCUGAAGGAAGCACCGGCUAACUCCGUGCCAGCAGCCGCCGUAA